rnacentral:lncRNA from 1 species
AGAAAAUCAAAAAUCAACGCCAGAAAAUUAAAAUCACCACUUGAAAAUCGAAAAUCACCACCAGAAAAUCGAAAACCAACACCAAAAAAUUAAAAUCACCACCGUAAAAAUAAAAACCACCAAAUAAUUUCCGAUCAUCUUUCCAAGUCACCUACAAAUCACCGGAUUAAACCGAUACUACAACUAAUAAUCACCGUAGCUUUUCAUAUAUGCUUCUUUUUAUAAUUUCAAAUCCAUGUAUGUUAAAUAACAAAUCACCACCGGAAAAAAUAAUCAAAGAAAACACUACAGGAUAAAUCUCUCUGAAACCACAAAAACACAUCCGCAUCCAUAUUGUUAUCCACUUAUCUGUGCACCAUAAAUAAACAACCACGGUAUAGUUAACAUCUCUGACUAGUGGAACUGCCACUUGCCUAAUGCAAAAAAUCGCCGCGCGGAGGUUUUUGGUUGCUGCAAAACAGAGAGAAAGCGAGUAAAAAUGCAGGAGACGACUGUGAUUGUGUUUGUGUGUCUGCCGGCGGUGGCGAUUGAGCCGCUGCGGUGCUUUAAGUCGCGGUUGUGAUGGAGCUCGUGAGGGGAGGGGGAGAGAGAGGGAG